ACUUUUACUUUGAAAAAUUAGAGUGCUCCAGGCAGGCCUAUGCUCGAAUACAUUAGCAUGGAAUAAUAGAAUAGGACGUGUGGUUCUAUUUGUUGGUUUCUAGGACCGCCGUAAUGAUUAAUAGGGACAGUCGGGGGCAUCAGUAUUCAAUUGUCAGAGGUGAAAUUCUUGGAUUAUGAAGACAACUACUGGAAACAUUGCCAAGGAUGUUUUCAUUUAUCAGGAACGAAAGUUAGGGGAUCGAAGACGAUCAGAUACCGUCGUAGUCUUAACCAUAAACUAUGCCGACUAGGGAUCGGACGAUGUUAUUUUUUGACUCGUUCGGCACCUUACGAGAAAUCAAAGUGCUUUGGGCUCCAUGGGAGUAUGGCGCAAGGCUGAAACUUAAAGAAAUUGACGGAAGGGCACCACCAGGGGUGGAGCCUGCGGCUUAAUUUGACUCAACACGGGAAACUCACCAGGUCCAGACACAAUGAGGAUUGACAGAUUGAGAGCUCUUUCUUGAUUUUGUGGGUGGUGGUGCAUGGCCGUU
rnacentral:rRNA from 1 species